rnacentral:rRNA from 1 species
GACGAACGCUGGCGGCGUGCUUAACACAUGCAAGUCGAACGGAAAGGCCCUGCUUUUGUGGGGUGCUCGAGUGGCGAACGGGUGAGUAACACGUGAGUAACCUGCCCUUGACUUUGGGAUAACUUCAGGAAACUGGGGCUAAUACCGGAUAGGAGCUCCUGCUGCAUGGUGGGGGUUGGAAAGUUUCGGCGGUUGGGGAUGGACUCGCGGCUUAUCAGCUUGUUGGUGGGGUAGUGGCUUACCAAGGCUUUGACGGGUAGCCGGCCUGAGAGGGUGACCGGCCACAAUGGGACUGGAGUUCGGCCCAGACUCCUACGGGGGGGAACAGGGGGGAAUAUUGCACAAUGGGCGGAAGCCUGAUGCAGCAACGCCGCGUGCGGGAUUACGGCCUUCGGGUUGUAAACCGCUUUCGCCUGUGACGAAGCGUGAGUGACGGUAAUGGGUAAAGAAGCACCGGCUAACUACGUG